UACGAAGGGGGCUAGCGUUGCUCGGAAUGACUGGGCGUAAAGGGCGCGUAGGCGGCUUGCACAGUCAGGCGUGAAAUUCCUGGGCUCAACCUGGGGACUGCCGCUUGUGACUGGCGUGCUUGGAGUGUGGCAGAGGGAGGUGGAAUUCCACGUGUAGCAGUGAAAUGCGUAGAGAUGUGGAGGAACACCGAUGGCGAAGGCAGCCUCCUGGGCCAGCACUGACGCUCGAUGCACGAAAGCGUGGGGAGCAAACAGGAUUAGAA
rnacentral:rRNA from 1 species